ensembl:lncRNA
UUCCAGGAGAUCUGACUCAUCUACACCUCAUCCCAGAGGACUGCCGACCGUCAACAAAGUGAAUGAAUUAUUCAUUAAUCACAAGAUUAUUCUGACAUAACAUGGUAAACAUGUUAUAGCACAAAAACCAAAUGGAAAGCAAGAACAUCUCUAUAGGAUUGUUUUAUUCGCUUUCAUCAACUCGUGAAGCACUGCUAUUGUAUAUUAAUCAUAAAAUUAUGUUUGCAAAUCACAUUCCAUUUUACACAUCAGACCAGAGAGAUGAAACAGAAAGGAAGCAAUUGUUACCAUAUUGUUUAUCAAUCGUAGUGGCUAAUUAAAUUUUGGAAAUUAUGCCAAUUACAGAUAUCACAAAGUACAUAGUUGAGAAUGCAUUGUAAAUGUGUAAAUUCAUUUAUCCGUAGAACCAGAAAACGUAUAUUUGUAGAUUUAAUAAACCUUAAAGAUAAACUACAGCCUAAAACCCUUUGACAUUGUUCAGAUAUUUAUAUUGGGGAUUCACAACGCCCUAGAUCCUCUCACACUAUUUUUUUAAUUUUGCCUAAACUAGAUUUAAGAGAAUGCUAUGAUAACCAUAAGCAUUAGAUAUUAGUUUAAUUCUCAUAUAACGACUCAGGGCGACUGGCUCAGAAGGACUACAUAUUCCAUUUUUAUAUGGAUGCAGGGCCUUGUUUGAAGAGGCCAGCUGGUCACUGUUGGCCUGGCCGAGUGGUCAGCAUGUGGUCACCGAAUGGUCGGGCUGCGAUUCAAGGGACAUUAAUUUUUUUCUCUCAGCAUAAACCUAGCAUAUAUCUCCCUGAAAGCUUUCUUUUGGGUUUUUUUUGACCUGGAGUUUUUCCCCAAAAGCAAAAAUUGAAAUCCAGCAUCGAAAGCUACCAUUGGCAGAAAAUUAACCCUGGAAUAUACUUAGAUGUUAGGUGUUUUAUAACAAUGUCCAAGUGUUUUAGCCUGUAUUAUUCCUUCAAUAGAUAUCUUAUUCUACUUGAAGACGUUGAAGUCAUUGUCUGCUUUUGGGCCAAUGUGACGCACUUAAAAAAUUAAGGGGAAACGGUAAAGACCAUUUUUUUCCCAACACAGAUUUUUCGGCAAACAUGGAUGUCGGCAAACAUACAAUUUUCUGUCCAUAUUUAUUUAAGAUGUUAGAUGUAAAAUUUUGUUAGAAAGUUCCGGUGUUGGAUUGUACAAUAAAGCAGAGCUAUUUCUAGAUGAGUAGUAUCUCUUGACCAGUUUAGGCCAAAUAUUUAGAAUCUAGGAUAAUCUUCCAAGUACUCUGAUACACCCCUGCAAUAAAAUAUUAUAUCAGCCUCAAUCAAAUAAUUAUUUUCACUGAGGCAUACUGCAGUUGGCCUCCCUCUCAAUUCUAUCUUAUCAUUAAAUAAUCCAAUACAUAUGGCCUCG